GCUGUAGUAGUGUAGUGGCAUCACAAGACGUUGUGGCCGUCUUAACCCUGGUUCGAUUCCAGGCUAUAGCA
rnacentral:tRNA from 1 species